rnacentral:rRNA from 1 species
GUCGAGCGAGGGAGCACCUUCGGGUGUGAACUAGCGGCGGACGGGUGAGUAACACGUGGGCAACCUGCCUUACAGAGGGGGAUAGCCUUCCGAAAGGAAGAUUAAUACCGCAUAUUAUGAUUUUUCUGCAUGGGAAAGUCAUGAAAGGAGCAAUCCGCUGUAAGAUGGGCCCGCGGCGCAUUAGCUAGUUGGUGAGGUAAGGGCUCACCAAGGCGACGAUGCGUAGCCGACCUGAGAGGGUGAUCGGCCACAUUGGGACUGAGACACGGCCCAGACUCCUACGGGAGGCAGCAGUGGGGAAUAUUGCACAAUGGGGGAAACCCUGAUGCAGCAACGCCGCGUGAGUGAUGACGGCCUUCGGGUUGUAAAGCUCUGUCUUCAGGGACGAUAAUGACGGUACCUGAGGAGGAAGCCACGGCUAACUACGUGCCAGCAGCCGCGGUAAUACGUAGGUGGCGAGCGUUAUCCGGAUUUACUGGGCGUAAAGGAUGCGUAGGUGGAAUUUUAAGUGGGAUGUGAAAUACCCGGGCUCAACCUGGGAACUGCAUUCCAAACUGGAAUUCUAGAGUGCAGGAGAGGAAAGCGGAAUUCCUAGUGUAGCGGUGAAAUGCGUAGAGAUUAGGAAGAACACCAGUGGCGAAGGCGGCUUUCUGGACUGUAACUGACACUGAGGCAUGAA